rnacentral:rRNA from 1 species
CCUACGGGAGGCAGCAGUGAGGAAUAUUGGUCAAUGGGCGUAAGCCUGAACCAGCCAAGUCGCGUGAGGGAUGAAGGUUCUAUGGAUCGUAAACCUCUUUUAUAAGGGAAUAAAGUGUGGGACGUGUCCUAUUUUGUACGUACCUUAUGAAUAAGGAUCGGCUAACUCCGUGCCAGCAGCCGCGGUAAUACGGAGGAUACGAGCGGUAUCCGGAUUUAUUGGGUUUAAAGGGUGCGUAGGCGGCCUGUUAAGUCAGUGGUGAAAGUCUGUGGCCCAACCAUAGAAUUGCCGUUGAAACUGGGGGUCUUGAGUAUGUUUGAGGCAGGCGGAAUGCGUGGUGUAGCGGUGACAUGCUUAGAUAUCACGCAGAACCCCGAUUGCGAAGGCAGCCUGCCAAGCCAUGACUGACGCUGAUGCACGAAAGCGUGGGGAUCAAACAGGAUUAGAUACCCGAGUAGUC